UGCUUAUUGAAAUUUGGGCAUCAGGCCAAACUCUCCAAAAAUUGAGUUGCAGAUUUAAUUUAGGAAAUCUCUAAUUUGUCUUGACUAUAAAAUGGCUCUCUGACUUACCAAGUGCCAACGCUGCAAAAAGGCUGAAUUGAUAAAGUCUGGCAUUGCUGUAUUGCUGUGGAAGUUGAGAAGUUGACGACAGAUCUGAAAAACUUAAAGUCAUCAGUUUGCAAAGUAAAUCCAUUCUGAAACUUUGUACUGUUAAUAAGAAUCGAGGUUUUCUACAUACGUAUUGGUGCCCCAAAUCUAAUAAGGAGUUUGUGAGGUUGUUGAUCUGAAUGAUAUGAAUGGCCAUCCAGUCAGUUGUAACUGAUAUUCAUGACGAGAUGAUGAAGAUACUAAUGCCACAGAAAAGAUAUACUGUCAGUUUUUCACCAUUGCACUCAUCACAUGGAAGGAACAAGGAAUGAAGGGACGGUGUUGCUACUGAUAUGGGAUGUUGAGUCAAGACUUUGCAGCAAUCCAGUAACAUAUCAUCAGGCAUGGCUACAAGAAGUUGGAAAUGUACUUUCUCGUUGUGAUCGUCCUCAAUUCGUUACCAAGGGCAUGUGAUUACCACGACGUACUUGAAGGUGGCUAACUUGAAACAUGAUGAUGGUGUCUUGGUGGAGUAUUGCUAGGUGCUGACCUUUCAACACCGAUUGAUGAGUAUUGCUGUUCGAGAAGUUACUUCUGUGUGUGUUUAACGGUCGGAAGCAACAGUAGCAGUAGCCUGCACAGCAUCCAUGUUUCAAUAUGAACGUCGGGUGGUGGAACCAACUUGUUAGCUGGAUUGAAACCUACUUGCUAUCACUGGAUUUAACUGAGUGGUUAUAGCUGUGGGUGUUGGAUCGAGUCAGGGAGAGGCUGUAAUCUGAACAUCAGGAUUAUUUCAGUUGGGUUUUAUUCAACACACUAGGAAUCUACCUACGAUAGUAAAAAACUAGGCGUCGGGAGAGUCACUACAGAUGUUACUUGCCGCAGAAGUUCUCCAUUAACAAACCGUUAUCACUUCCAUUAUAUCAAAGGACUUACGCAUCAGAAACUUGAUGGUGAUGAAAUUUGACUAUACGGUCAAUUGAGUUCGACUACAUCACGAGGUGAAGCAUCUAGCCCAUUGUUGUUCAAGAUUUCCAUCACGGCCCCAAGAAAAACUCGCCGUUUAGAAUCUAACUCAUUGGUGAAAAUCCAGGACCAUGAAGGAAAUAUCAACUCAGGCCAAACAGCUGUUGCGCUCUACGUAUUACUCAAACCCAUCAACUAAAAGUGUUACUCCUGGAACAUCAAUGAGUGUUGUUCGUCAAACAAUUUUUCGUAAAUAAAGUUAUGUAGCUCGAAAACAAGUCGACAUACCUUGGGUCUACACAGCCGGAUUUCGCGUCAACUGGCGUAUUCAAUUAUUCAUAUCUCCAAAGAUGGCAAAAUCAACACUAGUUUCGAGUCAUUUUACAUAAAACUAGCGAAGGGAAAUUUCCAUGAUUCCUCCAGCAUUCUAGCUGAUCAGGACGAUGUAACACCUCAUGGACAACUACGUAAACUUUAAAAUCUUCAUCUUCUUAGUGAAGGAGUCAAGCAAUGAAACAGAUCCAUUGACUGCCAUUUUGCUGAAUUGAAGCUGUGCACCAUUUUCUGGCCUUUGCUGGAACUUUGGAUUUUGACCCGCCACAAGUGAAGAUAGUUGGGAAUUUACGCUGUUAGCAUUGCCACGAGUGCACGAGAGUUAGGAAUAGUUUAUGCUAGUACGACAACCCCAUCUGUCUUUUUUUCAAGGGAAUAUAGAGACUAGGAUUUGGGGGAAAAUGCGGAGUAAAAAUCAGAUUAAAUCGGCAACAAGUAUGUUGCUAUAGAAUAUUUGACUCUCAUAAAAACAAAAUAAGUAGCCUUUAUAUAAUAUACAUUUAUAUUGAAGUUUAAUAUUACAUACAUUACAUUUUUGUAAAAACGU
rnacentral:lncRNA from 1 species